rnacentral:rRNA from 1 species
AACGAACGCUGGCGGCAUGCCUAACACAUGCAAGUCGAACGAGACCUUCGGGUCUAGUGGCGCACGGGUGCGUAACGCGUGGGAACCUGCCCUUAGGUUCGGAAUAACUCCCCGAAAGGGGUGCUAAUACCGGAUAAUGUCUUCUGACCAAAGAUUUAUCGCCUUUGGAUGGGCCCGCGUUGGAUUAGCUUGUUGGUAGGGUAAAAGCCUACCAAGGCGACGAUCCAUAGCUGGUUUGAGAGGAUGAUCAGCCACACUGGGACUGAGACACGGCCCAGACUACUACGGGAGGCAGCAGUGGGGAAUAUAGGAAAAGGGGCGAAAGGCUGAUCCAGCAAUGCCGCGUGAGUGAUGAAGGCAUUAGGGUAGUAAAGCUCUUUUACCCGGGAUGAUAAUGACAGUACCGGGAGAAUAAGCUCCGGCUAACUCCGUG